UACGAAGGGUGCAAACGUUGCUCGGAAUUAUUGGGCGUAAAGCGCACGUAGGCGGCCUUGUAAGUCGGAUGUGAAAUCCCUCGGCGUAACCGAGGACGUGCAUCCGAAACUGUGAGGCUCGAGUAUGGAAGAGGGUCGCAGAAUUCCCGGUGUAGAGGUGAAAUUCGUAGAUAUCGGGAGGAAUACCAGUGGCGAAGGCGGCGACCUGGGCCAAUACUGACGCUGAGGUGCGAAAGCUAGGGUAGCAAACGGG
rnacentral:rRNA from 1 species